AACGAACGCUGGCGGCAUGCCUAACACAUGCAAGUCGAACGAGACCUUCGGGUCUAGUGGCGCACGGGUGCGUAACGCGUGGGAACCUGCCCUUAGGUUCGGAAUAACUCCCCGUAAGGGGUGCUAAUACCGGAUAAUGUCUUCGGACCAAAGAUUUAUCGCCUUUGGAUGGGCCCGCGUUGGAUUAGCUAGUUGGUAGGGUAAGAGCCUACCAAGGCGACGAUCCAUAGCUGGUCUGAGAGGAUGAGCAGCCACACUGGGACUGAGACACGGCCCAGACUCCUACGGGAGGCAGCAGAGGGGAAUACUGGACAAUGGGCGAAAGCCUGAUCCAGCAAUGCCGCGUGAGUGAUGAAGGCCGGAGGGUUGUAAAGCUCUUUUACCCGGGAUGAUAAUGACAGUACCGGGAGAAUAAGCGCCGGCUAACUCCGUG
rnacentral:rRNA from 1 species